rnacentral:rRNA from 1 species
AGAGUUUGAUCCUGGCUCAGGACGAACGCUGGCGGCGCGCCUAACACAUGCAAGUCGAACGAGCGAGAGAGAGCUUGCUUUCUCGAGCGAGUGGCGAACGGGUGAGUAACGCGUGAGGAACCUGCCUCAAAGAGGGGGACAACAGUUGGAAACGACUGCUAAUACCGCAUAAGCCCACGGGUCGGCAUCGACCAGAGGGAAAAGGAGCAAUCCGCUUUGAGAUGGCCUCGCGUCCGAUUAGCUAGUUGGUGAGGUAACGGCCCACCAAGGCGACGAUCGGUAGCCGGACUGAGAGGUUGAACGGCCACAUUGGGACUGAGACACGGCCCAGACUCCUACGGGAGGCAGCAGUGGGGAAUAUUGCACAAUGGGGGAAACCCUGAUGCAGCGACGCCGCGUGGAGGAAGAAGGUCUUCGGAUUGUAAACUCCUGUUGUUGAGGAAGAUAAUGACGGUACUCAACAAGGAAGUGACGGCUAACUACGUGCCAGCAGCCGCGGUAAAACGUAGGUCACAAGCGUUGUCCGGAAUUACUGGGUGUAAAGGGAGCGCAGGCGGGAAGACAAGUUGGAAGUGAAAUCCAUGGGCUCAACCCAUGAACUGCUUUCAAAACUGUUUUUCUUGAGUAGUGCAGAGGUAGGCGGAAUUCCCGGUGUAGCGGUGGAAUGCGUAGAUAUCGGGAGGAACACCAGUGGCGAAGGCGGCCUACUGGGCACCAACUGACGCUGAGGCUCGAAAGUGUGGGUAGCAAACAGGAUUAGAUACCCUGGUAGUCCACACCGUAAACGAUGAUUACUAGGUGUUGGAGGAUUGACCCCUUCAGUGCCGCAGUUAACACAAUAAGUAAUCCACCUGGGGAGUACGACCGCAAGGUUGAAACUCAAAGGAAUUGACGGGGGCCCGCACAAGCAGUGGAGUAUGUGGUUUAAUUCGACGCAACGCGAAGAACCUUACCAAGUCUUGACAUCCUGCGACGGUUCUGGAAACAGAACUUUCCUUCGGGACGCAGAGACAGGUGGUGCAUGGUUGUCGUCAGCUCGUGUCGUGAGAUGUUGGGUUAAGUCCCGCAACGAGCGCAACCCUUAUGGUCAGUUACUACGCAAGAGGACUCUGGCCAGACUGCCGUUGACAAAACGGAGGAAGGUGGGGAUGACGUCAAAUCAUCAUGCCCUUUAUGACUUGGGCUACACACGUACUACAAUGGCGUUAAACAAAGAGAAGCAAGACCGCGAGGUGGAGCAAAACUCAGAAACAACGUCCCAGUUCGGACUGCAGGCUGCAACUCGCCUGCACGAAGUCGGAAUUGCUAGUAAUCGUGGAUCAGCAUGCCACGGUGAAUACGUUCCCGGGCCUUGCACUCACCGCCCGUCA